rnacentral:rRNA from 1 species
GACGAACGCUGGCGGCGUGCUUAACACAUGCAAGUCGAACGGAGUGGCGAACGGGUGAGUAACACGUGGGUGACCUGCCCUGCACUUCGGGAUAAGCCUGGGAAACUGGGUCUAAUACCGGAUAGUGUGGGAUGGGCCCGCGGCCUAUCAGCUUGUUGGUGGGGUAAUGGCAUACCACGGCGGCGCCGGGUAGCCGGCCUGAGAGGGGGGACGGCCACAUUGGGCCUGAGACAGGGCCCAGACGCCUACGUGGGGCAGCAGUGGCGAAUAUGGCGCAAUGGGCGGACGCCUGAUGCAGCGACGCUGCGUGGGGGAUGACGGCCUUCGGGUUGGAAACUCCGUUCACCAUCGACGCGGUAGAUGGAGAAGAAGCACCGGCUAACUACGUGCCAGCAGCCGCGGUAAUAC